rnacentral:rRNA from 1 species
CCUACGGGUAGCAGCAGUGAGGAAUAUUGGGCAAUUGCCGUAAGGCUGAACCAGCCAAGUCGCGUGAAGGACGAAGGAUCUAUGGUUUGUAAACUUCUUUUAUAGGGGAAUAGAGGUAGCCACGUGAGGAUAUUUGCAUGUACCCGAUGAAUAAGCAUCGGCUAACUCCGUGCCAGGAGGCGCGGGAAUAAGGAGGAUGCGAGCGGUAUACGGCGUUAGUGGGUUGAAAGGGUGCGUAGGUAGUUUGUAAAUUCGGCGGUGAAAGUGUGUGGCUCAACCAUAGAGUUGCUGUUGAAACUGGAAGAGUUGAGUGUGUUAUGGGUAGGCGGAAUGCGUGGUGUGGCGGUGAAAGGCAUAGAUAUCACGCAGAACUCCGAGUGCGAAGGCAGCUUACUAGGCCAUAACUGACACUGAAGCACGAAAGCGUGGGGAUCAAACAGGAUUAGAUACCCCUGUAGUC